AGUGGCUGGCGUUCUUCGGUCAGGGGGCUAGGGAUUACGAUCUCGAGGAUUUCCUUAAGGCAUCGGCGGAGAUUUUGGGAAAGGGGACGUUCGGGACGGCGUACAAGGUGGUGCUGGAUAUGGGGACGUUGGCGGUGGUGAAGAGGUUGAAGGGAUGAGCACCACAGAGAUAGAGUUCAGAGAGAAGAUCACGGUGAUCGGAGUGAUGGAGCAUCAGAAUUUGGUGGGUUUGAGGGCUUAUUACUAUAGUUAGGAUGAGAGGUUGCUGGUGUAUGAUUACAUGCCAAUGGGGAGCUUGUCUUCUCUUCUCCAUGGAGUGGUUGAAGAAGCUAAAAUCAGAACAUGGAAAAGUUCAACUUGGCAACAGCAUUGUGGAUAUGGUGCUCAUCUCAACAAAUUACAGAUAUGUCAAUUUUAUAUUUUCCAUUUGGCUGUGUGGGCAACACACCUAUUACUGGCACAUAGCCGAUAGUGUGUGUGGAUAACGUUAAUUGAUCUCAAGUCGUUGAAUUUUGAUAGGUUAUAGGUGGAAUGAGAGGAACGACUGGAUUAUUGUGGGAAACGUCAUUACUUGAUCCUGAUGAGAAAGGUUCUCUCUGUUCACGGUUAGAAUAGGUUCAGGGAUGAAAAGGCGAGCGGGUCUAUAUACACUGAGCAAGAUGAUUGCGACAAUGGACAGAGCGAUCUCUGACUACAAGAGUCCUUACAGGAAUCAACUGUUUAACUUGGCGAGAAGGAUAUCUUGGAGAAGAGGAAUAAGGGGAUGUUCUCCGUAAAGUUCAAUUCUGACUUACACAUAUUCGCAAACAAUAAACUCUCAAGAUAUCUCUGUUGUGUAGGAGUGUGGCUUGUGUAGUAUGAAAAUUUUAUGAUGCUAUGAAAGGUUCCCUGUAUGUGCAAAUAUGAUUAAAUAUUUGUUGCAGGAAAAUUGAAUACUCCUUUCACACGAAGCACAAUAGAAGUGAAGUUGCCAAAUAGGCUAUUUUUAAUGUGAAAUCGCUAUUAUCUAAAGUAUAUUUUCUUGUGUAUAAAGAGAACUAUCGGUCUAUAAAUAGUUAAAAUGAUGAUCUUGUGUAA